rnacentral:rRNA from 1 species
UACGUAGGUGGCAAGCGUUGUCCGGAUUUACUGGGCGUAUAGAGCGCGCAGGCGGUCGUUCAAGUCGCGUGUGAAAGCCCCCGGCUCAACUGGGGAGGGUCACGCGAUACUGAUCGACUCGAAGGCAGGAGAGGGUAGUGGAAUUCCCGGUGUAGUGGUGAAAUGCGUAGAUAUCAGGAGGAACACCGGUGGCGAAGGCGGGUCUCUGGGCAACAACUGACGCUGAGGAGCGAAAGCGUGGGGAGCGAACAGG